AUGGCUCGCCGGUUCGACACAUUCAAGAAGACCGUCCUGGAUGUCCAGCAUACAAACAAGGCUUACCCGUCCCACAAACCGAGGACGAUAACCAAAUUCGCUGAUGGAAAGCUGAUGAGGCCUUGCGGUUGCUCUCACGCCCCGCUUCUGAAAAGGAUGGCAGAGGAGCUUGACGACAAUCCAUGUGAGCUCAUACUAGGUGACGACGACAAACUUUACAAGCGAGUCUUUGCGGACUAUAAAGUGGUUGAUGACAGAUUGUAUGUUCAUUUGCCUAAGGGGGUUGAUGUGAAAACCAUAACCACAAACCCUGAAUGGCCUACUUCAGAGUCCUGA
rnacentral:rRNA from 1 species